rnacentral:rRNA from 1 species
GACGAACGCUGGCGGCGUGCUUAACACAUGCAAGUCGAGCGGUAAGGCCCUUUCGGGGGUACACGAGCGGCGAACGGGUGAGUAACACGUGGGUGACCUGCCCUUAGCUCUGGGAUAAGCCUGGGAAACUGGGUCUAAUACCGGAUAUGACUCCAUAACGCAUGUUGUGGGGUGGAAAGCCUUGUGCGGCUAGGGAUGGGCCCGCGGCCUAUCAGCUUGUUGGUGGGGUGAUGGCCUACCAAGGCGACGACGGGUAGCCGGCCUGAGAGGGCGACCGGCCACACUGGGGACUGAGACACGGCCCAGACUCCUACGGGAGGCAGCAGUGGGGAAUCUUGCGCAAUGGGCGAAAGUCUGACGCAGCGACGCCGCGUGGGGAUGACGGCCUCGGUGUAACGUACUU